UUUAACCGGUCUCUUUUUUUUCUUCACUGUUGUUUUGUCCAGCAUCCAGUGCACCCAUUUGGUGGAAUUAUUAAUGAUCUCAAAACGCAUUUUCUUCUUACUUUCUCGCGUCCACAAAAAAAAAAACGCGAAGGGGUGGUUGAACCCCAUCGUAUAAGAAAAGAAAAGGGUUCUCAAUGCAAGUUAUUUAGGAGCCUGAACAAGUUGACGAACAAUACAAAGUACCUUUUCUUCCAAUGGAGUGAACACGUAUGAAAUUAACGUGGAAUCUCCUAUGGGAUCAACGACCCUUUUAGCAGGGUAUAAAUCCUUCUAUCCCAGCUCACCCUCCUUUCUCGCACCGCCCUUCUCACAACUGAUUACCGUGCGCGAAGAUAUAAUGAGAAAAUUUUUCUUUUAUAGAUAUAUACCAAUUAAUCACGGUUGUGUGCCAAAUUUACGCGCCAUGAAGCAUUUGACAAGAAAAUACUGACUGAUCCAAUUAUCACUGGGAAAUCGAGCGAAAUUAGUAAUCCAUCGGAGAGUCAUCGUUCUCUUCAUGUCUCUACUAAACAACUUCUUCUUUUCAUCACCCGUACAUCGCAUCGUACUUUUGCUUUUGAGAAUUCGCAUCAAGCUGGGUUGACUCUCCGCGGAGACCGCGAAUCAUGUGGUGGGAUGAAAAAUUCAACGAUGCAAUGUUGCGGGAGGGAAAAAUUAUUAUGAUGAAAUAUAUAGCAAAAUACAUAAAUACACAUAAAUCGCCUGGGUGGGUACAACCUAAAAAUAAAUACAAUAUCGCAUGCAGAUUAGAAGAAAGAUAAUUCCCGCAACUUCCUUCUGCCACAAUUUUGAUAAGUAUCUUCCUCGCAACGCUGAAUGAAAUGUUUAAUAAACGAAAUGCACAUCGAGUGGAAAAUUAUACUCCCACAAUAUAGAAUUCUCAAUGAGUUGACUCGCAACUGAGGGGAAUUGAUUAAAAUAUCGUUCUUUUGCCGCGUUUUUCUGCACCAUAUAUGCUCCAUGAUGAUGGAAUUAGUGCUGAAUAUGAGACAAUUAAUAAUCUUUGCCAUUAAUAACUCCGCUCUGGUGUGUGCUUGAUUAUAAUAUGUAAUACAACACACCACGUAGAUUUUUUCUUUACUUCUUUUUAUACAUAACUCCUACAUUGAAUUUUCAUCUCUAUAUAUCGUUUUAAAUAGACAUAUAAAUUAAAUUGUUGUUCUUACGACGAUCUAUGUUGGUACACGCGGUGUACGGAUUGGAGACAAAAACAUGGGAUGUGUGGCGCAGUGGAAAAUCAACAUUAAGAAAAAUCAAUAUUACUCUUCAAAUAGAAUUGACAAAAAUUUCCAUAUGAUUAAAUAAUGUUAAUUGGGAAGGAAAAUAGUGUGAAUUUGACUACUUAUGGAUUCAUCGCAACUAUGUGGAAUUUCCUAUUGAUUUUGCAUUACCAUAAAAUUCACAAAAUUGAACAGCUGUCGGCGGAAAUAUUGCACAAGAGAAGCUUAAAUAGAUGAAUUGGAAGCCAAUACCAAUGUGCGAAUGGUACUUUCAAAAAUUUUCUAUCCGGCAAAAAGAGAGAAUUUUGUACAAUUUGCGAGGCUAUAAAAUUGCACGAAGGGAAAUCUGGAAUUUAUAUACUAUUGCAAAGUAGAGCAUUUUGUUACAUUUUAAAUGAAUUCUUUAUACAAAAUUCACUUUUCAAUAAUAAUGAGAAAUAUUUAAUAGAAAAUGUUUGUAUAGUUUUCCGCGAAAUUUUCAUCGCAAAAUAAUAAAUUUUAUCUUUCAAAUUAAAUUGUCAUUUUAUGCUGCUUUAUGUUUUCCAAAAUUGUAAAAUUUUUCUUUUAGAUAAUUGCUCUAAAAAAAUCCAAAAUGUCAACCGAAAAGCAAUUUAAUGGUACACUCAAGAGAUUCCCGUGAAAAAAAUUGUUUCCCAGCCAAUAAAUUAAGUUUUAUAAGGAAAUUCUUUCAGCAAAGCAUGAUUUUGAUAAGAAGAAUUGGUUUGAAGUCAUUGGAACGAUAAAUUACGGAAGCCGGUGUAGGAGUAA